GGAUUAGAUACCCUGGUAGUCCAUGCCGUAAACGAUGAUUACUAGGUGUUGGAGGAUUGACCCCUUCAGUGCCGCAGUUAACACAAUAAGUAAUCCACCUGGGGAGUACGACCGCAAGGUUGAAACUCAAAGGAAUUGACGGGGGCCCGCACAAGCAGUGGAGUAUGUGGUUUAAUUCGAAGCAACGCGAAGAACCUUACCAGGUCUUGACAUCCGAUGCAUAGCGCAGAGAUGCGUGAAGUCCUUCGGGACAUCGAGACAGGUGGUGCAUGGUUGUCGUCAGCUCGUGUCGUGAGAUGUUGGGUUAAGUCCCGCAACGAGCGCAACCCUUAUUGCCAGUUACUACGAAAGAGGACUCUGGCGAGACUGCCGUUGACAAAACGGAGGAAGGUGGGGAUGACGUCAAAUCAUCAUGCCCUUUAUGACCUGGGCUACACACGUACUACAAUGGCGUUUAACAAAGAGAAGCAAGACCGCGAGGUGGAGCAAAACUCAAAAACAACGUCUCAGUUCAGAUUGCAGGCUGCAACUCGCCUGCAUGAAGUCGGAAUUGCUAGUAAUCGCGGAUCAGCAUGCCGCGGUGAAUACGUUCCCGGGCCUUGUACACACCGCCCGUCACACCAUGAGAGCCGGGGGGACCCGAAGUCGGUAGUCUAACCGCAAGGAGGACGCCGCCGAAGGUAAAACUGGUGAUUGGGGUGAAGUCGUAACAAGGUAGCCGUAUCGGAAGGUGC
rnacentral:rRNA from 1 species